GCGGAGCGGGACCCUGAGCGACAGCGAGGGCGGAAACGGCCAUCGGAGGAGUUGGAGGACCUGGUGGAUGAUACCAUCACAAACACAGAAGCCGAUGUAUGGUGUCUGGGAGAUUCAAUAAUGUACUGGGCGGGAAAUCGUGCGGCUGGAACUAGCAAGCCAACUUUAAAGCUGAAUACGACAAUAGCAUGGUUAGGAGUGCGUGGAUUGCAUUGGCAUGAUUUCCGACAUACCGUUGAAUAUCAGAAGUGUAAUCUAUAUACAAAUAAUUGCAAGCUGUCAGAAUGAUACGUGGAGCACAUUGAUGGCCAUCAAAACUCACGAGCCAGUAGAUAUACGGACAGAAACCAUUCUUUACUCGGAUGUUAUAUGUGAGGACAGUUCAGUGCUAUUGCGUUACAUGUCGUACAACUGUAUUAUUAUCAUGUGAUGUGUUUGGUACGCUCGUGAAGGACUGGUACUUUUUAUAGGAAAUGAUACUACUAUAUAAGUGUAUUAUUCUUUAUAUGGAUGUGCUAUAACUUUCAAUACCAGCGAUGGCUAUUAUGAUCCACGUGAACUCUAGCUUAUCAGUAUAUGUGUUUGUAGCUAACAACACUAUAAGUUACUUAUUUUCUAAGGAUUGGUCUAAGUAAGAUUCAUCAGUCUUAUUUAAACUAUAUAUAACUAUAAAAUACUUCGUAUAUGUAUUAAUUGUUGCAAGUAUAAAUUUUAAUAAUUUGUCGCUCUAUUGGC
rnacentral:lncRNA from 1 species